UACGUAGGGUGCAAGCGUUAAUCGGAAUACUGGGCGUAAGGCGUGCGCAGGCGGUUUUGUAAGUCUGUCGUGAAAUCCCCGGGCUCAACCUGGGAAUUGCGAUGGAGGCUGCAAGGCUAGAAUCUGGCAGAGGGGGGUAGAAUUCCACGUGUAGCAGUGAAAUGCGUAGAGAUGUGGAGGAACACCGAUGGCGAAGGCAGCCCCCUGGGUCAAGAUUGACGCUCAUGCACGAAAGCGUGGGGAGCAAACAGG
rnacentral:rRNA from 1 species